rfam:Deltaproteobacteria bacterium RBG_13_58_19 RBG_13_scaffold_70285, whole genome shotgun sequence.
GUCGUCGGGAGGCGGGGUCUGAAGGAAGCGUGGAUCAAAGCCGUGGCCGGACGGACAGGAACCGGAUACGAGGCAGUUUUGGCCGGACGAGGGGGCAAAUAACUCCGAAGUCCAUAUCCAUCACGGGCCAGGGCUGUAAAUCCGGCAGGUGGGUGGCGAAGGCGGUNNNN